UGGAGGGAGGAAAGUCACGGAGCCCCUGGCCUGUCCCACUGUGGGGAGAACUGGGCAGUGGGAGUGCGGGUGGCAGCAGGGCUGGUGGAGGGAGGGAACUCACCACAGU